rnacentral:lncRNA from 1 species
UGAAAAGUGGAUUGCCAAGGCCAACAAGCAGGCCAAGGAUUGGAUCGCUGAGGCCAGAUGGGAAGCUAAAGAGAAAAUUACUGAGGCCCAUCGAUCAGCUAUAAAAUCCUUCAAGGUUUCGAAGGAUUUCAAAUGAGAGAUGACUCAGACGGCCGACAGCUAUAAGGCAUUGGAGGAAUAUCAUGAUGUCUUGAUCGCAUUCGUUCAAGAUUCUUUCAAUAUAGGACAUGGGACUGGAUUUGACCAUUGCUGCUGUUUGAUAGCCGUCCGACUCCCUGAAGCCGACCUUUCUUUUCUGGACAAGGACAAGAGUGAUGAGGAGGCCGCGAAGGAGCCAGCUCCUCCCAGUUCCAUGGCCACUGAAAGGUAGGUUGGGAGUGAGGAGGCAGCGAUUGAAGUCUCUCUUCCACCCACCACUGAUCCUUCUGAAGCAUCCCCAAGCCCCUCAGGAGUCGCACUCGACCCCUCCAAUUUUCAAGA